AUGUAUCCUUUCUCUUGUUCUCAGGAUGAAGAUCUGAAAUGGGUUGAGGAGAACAUUCCCACAACUGUUGCUGAUGUAGCCCUCCCAGUAAUGCUUGACGAAGAAGAGGAAAUUCUGAAAACCAAGAUGGAGAGAUCCAAAAUGGAAUGACCGAGUGGAGGGGUUUCACCGAGGCAGCCAUUGAUGGAGUUAAAUGAAGACCGAGUGGAGGGGUUUCACCGAGGCAGCCAUUGAUGGAGUUAAAUGAAGACCGAGUGGAGAGGUUUCACCGAGGCAGCCAUUGAUGGGAGUUAAAUGAAGGGACCCAUUAGAUCCUAUAUUUAUGUCCAACACCUUUUUAUGUUCCUUCAUUUUGAGCACCGCCAUGCAGCCGCUAAUAAACUCUACGGUUUUGCCAAAUGGCUCCCUAUUCCCUCUGUAGUGCACUACUUUUGACCAGGGCCCCAUAGGGUAGUGCACUACUUUUGACCAAGGCCCAUAGGGUAGUGCACUACUUUUGACCCAUAGGAUGCCCAUCUGGCCAUGAUGCUGUAUCCUCAGAUAGGAGUGGCAAGUCGAUGGAUAUUUUUUUUAUUUGACCUUUUUAUUUAACUAGGGCAAGUCAGUUAAAGAACAAAUUCUUACUUACAAUAACGGCCUACAAUGGGUUAACUGCCUCGUUCAGGGGCAGAAAGACAGAUUUAUACCUCGUCAACUCGGGGGGGAUUCGAUCCACGCUGCCUGCCGCCCCCAAUAUAGCCAAUAGUAUCUUCUUUCUCUUGAAGUGUGCACUUCUUUCUCUUGAAGUGUGCACUCGUUCACUACCUCCCAUACAUCUACAAGCAUUGGAUUGGUGGAGGCAUGGGCUAGUGGGGGUUUCCACCCAUUUCCUUUCAAAUCAGUGAAGGGAAGUGAAGAUGUGCACACUUUGGGAGGAAGGAGAGAUACUUGGGAUAUAGUGAGGGAGUGGGCUGGGCUGGCAGCAGCGUGACGUACUGCAUGUAUAGUAUUAUAUUUGUGACCAUGUGAAGAUUUGCAGUUUGGUAAAUCUAGGUCUGCAUCCUAAAUUGAACGCACUACUUUUGGCCUGGGCCCUGGUCAACAGUAGUGCACUACACUAUGGGGCCCUGGUCAACAGUACUGCACUACCCUAUGGGGCCCUGG